rnacentral:rRNA from 1 species
GACGAACGCUGGCGGCGUGCUUAACACAUGCAAGUCGAACGGUAAGGCCCUUCGGGGUACACGAGUGGCGAACGGGUGAGUAACACGUGGGUGAUCUGCCCUGCACUUCGGGAUAAGCCUGGGAAACUGGGUCUAAUACCGGAUAGGACCACUGCCUGCAUGGGUGGUGGUGGAAAGCUUUUGCGGUGUGGGAUGGGCCCGCGGCCUAUCAGCUUGUUGGUGGGGUGAUGGCCUACCAAGGCGACGACGGGUAGCCGGCCUGAGAGGGUGACCGGCAACACUGGGACUGAGAUACGGCCCAGACUCCUACGGGAGGCAGCAGUGGGGAAUAUUGCACAAUGGGCGCAAGCCUGAUGCAGCGACGCCGCGUGAGGGAUGACGGCCUUCGGGUUGUAAACCUCCUUCAGCACCGACGAAGCGCAAGUGACGGUAGGUGCAGAAGAAGGACCGGCCAACUACGUGCCAGCCGCCGCGGUAACAC